GAUAAACGCUAGCGGCAGGCUUAACACAUGCAAGUCGAGGGGCAGCAUAGAUUGUAGCAAUACAAUUGGUGGCGACCGGCGCACGGGUGCGUAACGCGUAUGCAACCUACCCGUCACAGGGGGAUAAUCCGGAGAAAUCUGGUCUAAUACCCCAUAACAUAUGGAUCGGCAUCGGUUCAUGUUGAAAUUUUCGGAGGUGACGGAUGGGCAUGCGUAGCAUUAGCUUGUUGGUGAGGUAACGGCUCACCAAGGCGACGAUGCUUAGGGGGACUGAGAGGUUUUCCCACCACACUGGUACUGAGACACGGACCAGACUCCUACGGGAGGCAGCAGUGAGGAAUAUUGGUCAAUGGGCGCAAGCCUGAACCAGCCAUGCCGCGUGCAGGAUGACGGCUCUAUGAGUUGUAAACUGCUUUUGUACGAGGGUAAAGUGGGUUACGUGUAACCUUUUGAAAGUAUCGUACGAAUAAGGAUUGGCUAACUCCGUGCCAGCCGCCGCGGUAA
rnacentral:rRNA from 1 species